GGGUUAGUAGGUUGGUCGGGCUUCACUGUCCGCACUGGCCUGGUGGAUUCCUACCUUCUGAAUAACCAGCAUGCUAUUAAGUUAGUGCGUUGGGGAAGCAGAGCUAUUACCUUGAAAAAAUUAGAGUGCUUAAAGCAGGCUUGUGCUUGAAUAGAUUAGCAUGGAAUAAUAAAAUAGGACGGCAUGGUUCUAUUUUGUUGGUUUCUAGGACCGCCGUA
rnacentral:rRNA from 1 species